UUUUCUUUUGCUCGGAAUGCCAUAAAAAUGGGUAGGAAAAAAAGGACGUAAGUGAAAAACAUAAGGGAAUAUAGAUGUAGACCUUGGUCCAGCAAUUCAAUCUUGCUCCAGCAAGGCAUAUUACAAAAUGACGUUUCUCACAUUCCUAAGUCUAGUUAGUAAAUAUCAUCAGGAGGCACAGGAAAUUAAGUGUUGGAGCUAACUGGGAUAUAUAUUACAUAGUGGCCUUGUCCCUUCCGGACUUGGGCAAUCAUGGGCGUGUGCUCUGUUUUUCUGGCCGGUAGAUCCAGUAGUAAAUAAUCCUUGUUUGGUGCGUCCUCCAUGAAUCAAUCAAGGUGCUUUAAUCCUUAUGGCAGAAAGAAGUCCUCCCAGAGCAACCUAACUGGUACUGUAGCAAUUACUUGGUUCUUGCACAAAUGCGUCAGACAAUACAAACUGCACAAAAUUCUCUUCAAGAAUCAAGGAUAUAUCUACUAAAAAGCAAAUAAAUUAAGAGCCAAUACAAAAACUUCAAUGCUAGUACUUUACCCUGAUCAAUCCUUUCUUAUCACCAUGCUUUUUAUGCUUCCGCAGCCACAUGUAAUCUCCAUUGACAAUCAUCGCUCAUCGGCAUGAACUGGCACUUCUCUGUGCGCCAAUGCAUCCUCUGGUUGGUGCCAGCGCUCGCCGGCCAACCUGCAACUGUUACCAGAUAGAUCAAUCAGAAGAACAUAAGCAUCAUAGACGAUAGUCGUCAACCCAUCUAUUUGCAAGUCCUAGCAUUUUGUACAACACCUAAAGAUAAAGGUACUAAAAUCAUUUAUUAGAUACACAAUAUUUAGAUAUAUAAACUAAAUUAUUAUACCAGUCUCUUGAACCAAUAGAAAGGAAACAUGCAAAUUUCGGUUUACUUAAGAAGAAUGUAAAUUUUGUCAUACUAAAUGCUAAGAAAAAUGAUCCAAAUUCAGAGGUACAUCAAAUCACAAUUAUAGUAAUGAAAGAAAACACACAAAAGGCAUUUUUAUCUCUUCCCAAAAUAGGAUAAAAAAAUUAAUGAACAAUUAGACUUUUUAAUGGUUCAUAGAUGAAUACACUGUACCAUAAAGAGUCUUAUAUUGUAUAUUGUGUUACCUAACUUAUUUAGAUAGGCAAAUAAUCCUAACAAAAAAUAUUAGUACAGAAAAAUGUAACAUAAAACAUGAAAUGUAAGAACCAAAUAGAGGAACAAACAUUUUGUGGCCACUGGAUUGUAAAAAGAAUGGACACUAAAGUUACUAUAAAUUUUUAACUUUUCUAUAAGGUGAGGUAGUAAUAAGCCAAAAAAAUAUGACAUCUCAUUUCUUUUGGCGCAUUCACCUCAAUUAUUUUCUUAUGCUUGUUUUUUGCAUAAAAUAUAAGGCAUGUGUGUAGACAGAUGAAUGAACUAUUGGACUCUAUGUGCAUCCUUUUUGUGAGCUUAUACAACUAAAAAUCAGGAAGAGAUUGCAAACUUGGAAAUCAUAGAAACUUACAUUUAGUUUUGUAUUUAGUUAUUAAUCGAUAUGAUUUUCCAUUUAUCCCACUACCAAGACCCGAGCUUGAAUUACUCAUUACUCAGUGCC
rnacentral:lncRNA from 1 species